CACCUGCCCAGCGUCUGCUCCUCAGGCCAAGGUCCAUGGCUCCUGGGACUGACCCCAGGGACUUAGAGUCCGAGGUCAUUCCAGUGCAGCAGGCCAUCCAGAUACAGAAGGUCUACCCGAUGCAGCCAGUCGUCCUGAUGCCCUUGAAUCCCCCAGAAAAGGAUUAUUUGUUUCUCUCCAUCAUUUCCAUCUUCUUCUGCAUUCUGCUGGCAAUACCAGCCAUCUUGUUCUCCAUCAAGACCCGUGAAGCCAACCUCCUUGGGAAUCAAAGGAAAGCACAGAUAAAUUCCAGACGGGCCUUGGCCUUCAGCAUCUCAAGCAUCCUGGUGGGCUCCAUUAUGGUCAUUUGCUCCAUUGUAGUCCGAAUCUUGAAGCAUCGAAUAUGAGAUCGUUUUGAAAGCUCACCUCCCUUGGAGAGUCAUGAACGGUACCUCCUGGGUCCUCUUGGAACCUUUGACCUUGAACAUCAGUAACCUACCUUACUGAGGGACGUCUCCCCCCCCCACCAGAUUUUUAAGAGCAAUGAAGUUUAUGAGGAAGUUUCUGUGCUCCAUUCAUCUGCUGUAUGUAUGUGUAUGUGCACAGGCACCUGUGUGCCCCUGCAUCCACUUCACGAACUUCCAUGGGGCUUAUUUAUGUAUUCAGCAGACACUUGCUGGGCAACCACUAUCCUGUACCAGGCACUAUUUUAGGCCUUAGUGAUUCAGUGCUGACUCAGAUUGAUGAGGUGUCUGCCUCCAUAACACCUACUCUACACUGAGAGCACACAGAAGAGUAAGAUGUAAAGCAACAGGAUAGUUCUGGGUCAGUACUGUCUUAGAGGACAUUUGGCAGUGGCAAAAUUCUCUGUCAUCCACUCUGUCCAAUAUCAUACCCACUAGGCAUAUGUGGCUACUGAGCACUUGAAAUGUCGCUAGUGCAACUGAAGAAUCAAUUUUGUAGGUAAUUUAGUGAUAAUUAAUAAUUAAGUUAAAUUUGCCACGUGUGGUCAGUGGCUACUGUCCUGGGUAGCCGGGUCUAGAUAGGGAUCAACAUCAUGACCAGUUUAUUCUAAAAGGAUGUAACUCAAGGAGAGUCAGAUGGAAGACGUGCACAGAGCAAGAUACGAGGAAAGGGCGUGGAGCUUCCAUGCAACCCUCUCUUAGCCCCUCCUCAUGUUCACCAACCCAGAAGCUCUUGGAACCCAUCCUUUUAGGUUUUGAUAGAGAACUCUGUUGACUUAAAGAAAAAUGCUCAAUGUAAGAGUUUUGAGUUUACGUUAUAUUCAGGGAGACUACUAGGGAUGCUGGCCCAGGAGACACCCUCUCAGUGGUUCUAAGGAACUGCUCCAAAGAGGUAGGGGGAGAAGCCAGUAUAUGUAUGAUUUUGGGCUUGGGAAUAUGUGUAUAUUGGCAAAAAGAUUACUUGGUAAUCUUGGUAAAAGAUUACUGCUAGUCUCAAAGAACAGUUAACUCAGGUGAAUGAUUUUAGUGCUUUUCUGUAUAUGAAAAAAGCAGGAAUCUGGGUUCAUUCAAAUUCUUCCUAAGAUACACAUCUGACUCUCAAAAGGGCCUAUUUUUCCAAAGCACCGGAUGCUUCAUCCUGUUUUUUCAUCUUGAAUUCCCAUCAGGAUGCACUGUCAGUGAGAACUGGGGGGCAAGUGAUGUGCUUUGUUUUUCUUUGCUUUACACUUCAUUACAGUCAUAAUUGAUUAA